AUUGAACGCUGGCGGCAUGCCUUACACAUGCAAGUCGAACGGCAGCACGGGAGCAAUCCUGGUGGCGAGUGGCGAACGGGUGAGUAAUGUAUCGGAACGUGCCCAGUCGUGGGGGAUAACGUAGCGAAAGCUACGCUAAUACCGCAUACGAUCUGUGGAUGAAAGCGGGGGACCGUAAGGCCUCGCGCGAUUGGAGCGGCCGAUACCAGAUUAGGUAGUUGGAGGGGUAAAGGCCUACCAAGCCGACGAUCUGUAGCUGGUCUGAGAGGACGACCAGCCACACUGGGACUGAGACACGGCCCAGACUCCUACGGGAGGCAGCAGUGGGGAAUUUUGGACAAUGGGCGCAAGCCUGAUCCAGCAAUGCCGCGUGCAGGAUGAAGGCCUUCGGGUUGUAAACUGCUUUUGUACGGGGCGAAAAGGCUCUCUCUAAUACAGGGGGCUCAUGACGGUACCGUAAGAAUAAGCACCGGCUAACUACGUGCCAGCCGCCGCGGUAA
rnacentral:rRNA from 1 species